UACGUAGGUGGCAAGCGUUGUCCGGAAUUAUUGGGCGUAAAGCGCGUGCAGGCGGUCCUUUAAGUCUGAUGUGAAAGCCCACGGCUCAACCGUGGAGGGUCAUUGGAAACUGGGGGACUUGAGUGCAGGAGAGAAAAGUGGAAUUCCACGUGUAGCGGUGAAAUGCGUAGAGAUGUGGAGGAACACCAGUGGCGAAGGCGACUUUUUGGCCUGUAACUGACGCUGAGGCGCGAAAGCGUGGGGAGCAAACAGG
rnacentral:rRNA from 1 species